rnacentral:rRNA from 1 species
AUUGAACGCUGGCGGCAUGCCUUACACAUGCCAGUCGAACGGUAACGGGCCUUCGGGUGCCGACGAGUGGCGAACGGGUGAGUAAUACAUCGGAACGUGCCCGAUCGUGGGGGAUAACGAGGCGAAAGCUUUGCUAAUACCGCAUACGAUCUACGGAUGAAAGCCGGGGACCGCAAGGCCUUGCGCGGACGGAGCGGCCGAUGGCAGAUUAGGUAGUUGGUGGGAUAAAAGCUUACCAAGCCGACGAUCUGUAGCUGGUCUGAGAGGAUGAUCAGCCACACUGGGACUGAGACACGGACCAGACUCCUACGGGAGGCAGCAGUGGGGAAUGUUGGACAAUGGGCGCAAGCCUGGUCCAGCCAUGCCGCGUGCAGGAUGAAGGCCUUCGGGUUGUAAACUGCUUUUGUACGGAACGAAAAGCCUUCUUUUAAUACAGGAGGGUCAUGACGGUACCGUAAGAAUAAGCACCGGCUAACUACGUG